AGUCACAAAGCCAGGGGAAGAAAUGUGAUCUUAAUUCGGGAAGCCUGACCUGUCUGUGCUCAUAAUCACUACGCUAUACUGCCCCCUUGUGGCCAGAAUGAGUCAGUAGAAACAGCUGAAAGUGAUCACAGGCUGGAGGUGUCAUGUAUGCAAUGAGUACUGGCUUGGGAGUGGGAUUUUCCUAGAUUUCAGUACUCGCUGCUGCAUCGCAACUGGAGACUGAGAUAUUAACCAAACCAGCUUCCACACUCCAUCAAGGCCCACAAGCCGCUGGAGCUGGAUGGCAUGCUUGACAGAGUUGUUGCAGUUGUUGCUCCAGUCCCUUGGCACCAUCCAGACAUUGACCUAAGAAGAUAACACUGGGGAAUCUGGAGGAUGUCAUCAACACACCAUGCUCCGAUGAGAGCUGGGAAAGUCCGUCUUCCCAUCUCCUCCCCUUCUCAGGUUCAAGCCACUCCAGGGCUGACUCACAGAACCAACCUUCUCUCCAGUUGAUCCUUAUGACACAGGAACUUCUGAAGCCUGAAAAUGAUGCUGGAGGAAAAAUCAAGCAAUGACUUGGACCUUGAGAUUUCAUCAUGUUUGAAGGCUCUCUGCUUGGUAAUAUUUAUGAGACCAUUAUUCACAGACAGACAACCUUCUUUUAGGUUUUAUUAGACAAUAUUAAGUCCAGAUAAGAGGCCAACAGAGGAAUUUCAGAAUGAAACCUGAAUGCUGAGAGUAUUAUUACUGUUUCUUGAGAAGGAAGAGGAGAGAGGAAGGAAACAUUCAUUGCCACAUGCUAUACCUUGUGCUCGGUUAUUUCACAAAGAUGUCCUUUAUCCUUGAACAAGAUCGGGUACACAUUAUCAUCUUUGUACAUGUGUGAACAUGGACAAGAAAUAUAUUUGUUUCCUUGUUUGAGAUGAUUACCAACGGGUGCCAGAGGGGUCUAUAGGUGAUUUUAAUUAAAUUGCUUCAAAUU